AGUGAACGCUGGCGGUAGGCCUAACACAUGCAAGUCGAACGGCAGCACAGUAAGAGCUUGCUCUUACGGGUGGCGAGUGGCGGACGGGUGAGGAAUACAUCGGAAUCUACUUUUUCGUGGGGGAUAACGUAGGGAAACUUACGCUAAUACCGCAUACGACCUACGGGUGAAAGCAGGGGAUCUUCGGACCUUGCGCGAUUGAAUGAGCCGAUGUCGGAUUAGCUAGUUGGCGGGGUAAAGGCCCACCAAGGCGACGAUCCGUAGCUGGUCUGAGAGGAUGAUCAGCCACACUGGAACUGAGACACGGUCCAGACUCCUACGGGAGGCAGCAGUGGGGAAUAUUGGACAAUGGGCGCAAGCCUGAUCCAGCCAUACCGCGUGGGUGAAGAAGGCCUUCGGGUUGUAAAGCCCUUUUGUUGGGAAAGAAAAGCAGCAGGUUAAUACCCCGUUGUUCUGACGGUACCCAAAGAAUAAGCACCGGCUAACUUCG
rnacentral:rRNA from 1 species